rnacentral:rRNA from 1 species
GACGAACGCUGGCGGCGUGCCUAAUACAUGCAAGUCGAACGCACUCUCGUUUAGAUUGAAGGAGCUUGCUCCUGAUUGAUAAACAUUUGAGUGAGUGGCGGACGGGUGAGUAACACGUGGGUAACCUGCCCUAAAGUGGGGGAUAACAUUUGGAAACAGAUGCUAAUACCGCAUAAAACCUAACACCGCAUGGUGUAGGGUUGAAAGAUGGUUUCGGCUAUCACUUUAGGAUGGACCCGCGGUGCAUUAGUUAGUUGGUGAGGUAAAGGCUCACCAAGACCGUGAUGCAUAGCCGACCUGAGAGGGUAAUCGGCCACACUGGGACUGAGACACGGCCCAGACUCCUACGGGAGGCAGCAGUAGGGAAUCUUCCACAAUGGACGAAAGUCUGAUGGAGCAACGCCG